UACGGAGGGUGCAAGCGUUAUCCGGAUUCACUGGGUUUAAAGGGUGCGUAGGAGGGCAGGUAAGUCAGUGGUGAAAUCUCCAAGCUUAACUUGGAAACUGCCGUUGAUACUAUCUGUCUUGAAUAUUGUGGAGGUGAGCGGAAUAUGUCAUGUAGCGGUGGAAUGCUUAGAUAUGACAUAGAACACCAAUUGCGAAGGCAGCUCACUACACAAUCAUUGACUCUGAGGCACGAAAGCGUGGGGAUCAAACAGG
rnacentral:rRNA from 1 species